AAUAGAUACCCGGGUAGUCCACGCCGUAAACGAUGAGUGCUAAGUGUUAGAGGGUUUCCGCCCUUUAGUGCUGCAGCUAACGCAUUAAGCACUCCGCCUGGGGAGUACGGCCGCAAGGCUGGAACUCAAAGGAAUUGACGGGGGCCCGCACAAGCGGUGGAGCAUGUGGUUUAAUUCGAAGCAACGCGAAGAACCUUACCAGGUCUUGACAUCCUCUGACAACCCUAGAGAUAGGGCUUUCCCCUUCGGGGGACAGAGUGACAGGUGGUGCAUGGUUGUCGUCAGCUCGUGUCGUGAGAUGUUGGGUUAAGUCCCGCAACGAGCGCAACCCUUGAUCUUAGUUGCCAGCAUUCAGUUGGGCACUCUAAGGUGACUGCCGGUGACAAACCGGAGGAAGGUGGGGAUGACGUCAAAUCAUCAUGCCCCUUAUGACCUGGGCUACACACGUGCUACAAUGGAUGGUACAAAGGGCUGCAAACCUGCGAAGGUAAGCGAAUCCCAUAAAGCCAUUCUCAGUUCGGAUUGCAGG
rnacentral:rRNA from 1 species